GAUGAACGCUGGCGGCGUGCCUAAUACAUGCAAGUCGAGCGAACGGACGAGAAGCUUGCUUCUCUGAUGUUAGCGGCGGACGGGUGAGUAACACGUGGAUAACCUACCUAUAAGACUGGGAUAACUUCGGGAAGCCGGAGCUAAUACCGGAUAAUAUUUUGAACCGCAUGGUUCAAAAGUGAAAGACGGUCUUGCUGUCACUUAUAGGUGGAUCCGCGCUGCAUUAGCUAGUUGGUAAGGUAACGGCUUACCAAGGCAACGAUGCAUAGCCGACCUGAGAGGGUGAUCGGCCACACUGGAACUGAGACACGGUCCAGACUCCUACGGGAGGCAGCAGUAGGGAAUCUUCCGCAAUGGGCGAAAGCCUGACGGAGCAACGCCGCGUGAGUGAUGAAGGUCUUCGGAUCGUAAAACUCUGUUAUUAGGGAAGAACAUAUGUGUAAGUAACUGUGCACAUCUUGACGGUACCUAAUCAGAAAGCCACGGCUAACUACGUG
rnacentral:rRNA from 1 species